rnacentral:tRNA from 1 species
GCGCCUCUAGCUCAGCGGAUAGAGUGCCCGGCUACGAACCGGUAGGUCGAGAGUUCGAAUCUCCCGAGGCGCGCCA